GCGGCGUGCCUAAUACAUGCAAGUCGAGCGGACAGAUGGGAGCUUGCUCCCUGAUGUUAGCGGCGGACGGGUGAGUAACACGUGGGUAACCUGCCUGUAAGACUGGGAUAACUCCGGGAAACCGGGGCUAAUACCGGAUGCUUGUUUGAACCGCAUGGUUCAAACAUAAAAGGUGGCUUCGGCUACCACUUACAGAUGGACCCGCGGCGCAUUAGCUAGUUGGUGAGGUAAUGGCUCACCAAGGCAACGAUGCGUAGCCGACCUGAGAGGGUGAUCGGCCACACUGGGACUGAGACACGGCCCAGACUCCUACGGGAGGCAGCAGUAGGGAAUCUUCCGCAAUGGACGAAAGUCUGACGGAGCAACGCCGCGUGAGUGAUGAAGGUUUUCGGAUCGUAAAGCUCUGUUGUUAGGGAAGAACAAGUACCGUUCGAAUAGGGCGGUACCUUGACGGUACCUAACCAGAAAGCCACGGCUAACUACGUGCCAGCAGCCGCGGUAAUACGUAGGUGGCAAGCGUUGUCCGGAAUUAUUGGGCGUAAAGGGCUCGCAGGCGGUUUCUUAAGUCUGAUGUGAAAGCCCCCGGCUCAACCGGGGAGGGUCAUUGGAAACUGGGGAACUUGAGUGCAGAAGAGGAGAGUGGAAUUCCACGUGUAGCGGUGAAAUGCGUAGAGAUGUGGAGGAACACCAGUGGCGAAGGCGACUCUCUGGUCUGUAACUGACGCUGAGGAGCGAAAGCGUGGGGAGCGAACAGGAUUAGAUACCCUGGUAGUCCACGCCGUAAACGAUGAGUGCUAAGUGUUAGGGGGUUUCCGCCCCUUAGUGCUGCAGCUAACGCAUUAAGCACUCCGCCUGGGGAGUACGGGUCGCAAGACUGAAACUCAAAGGAAUUGACCGGGGGCCCGCACAAGCGGGUGGA
rnacentral:rRNA from 1 species